GGGGCUGUGGCUCAGCGGUAAAGCGCUCACCUAGAUCGUGCGAGGCACUGGGUUCAAUCCUCAGCACCACA
rnacentral:tRNA from 1 species